CGGGACGGGUGAGUAACGCGUGGGUAACCUACCCUGUACACACGGAUAACAUACCGAAAGGUAAUGCUAAUACAGGAUAAUAUAUUUGAGAGGCAUCUCUUGAAUAUCAAAGGUGAGCCAGUACAGGAUGGACCCGCGUCUGAUUAGCUAGUUGGUAAGGUAACGGCUUACCAAGGCGACGAUCAGUAGCCGACCUGAGAGGGUGAUCGGCCACAUUGGAACUGAGACACGGUCCAA
rnacentral:rRNA from 1 species